UGAGCAGCGGCAAGAUUUAUCACAAAGAGCAAAAGAACAAAACUCACACACUGCAGAAGCGGACCCAAGCCAGUUGCCACCGCUGGUUCCGGCAGCUUGCUUUUAUUCCCUCAUCUGGCCCCACCCACAUACUGCUGAUUGGUCCACUUUACAGAGAGCUGAUUGGUCCAUUUUACAGAGAGCUGAUUGGCCUGUUUUGACGGGGUGCUGAUUGGUGCAUUUACAAUCCCUAAGCUAGACACAGAGUGCUGAUUGGUGUAUUUAAAAUCCUCUAGCUAGACAAAAAAGUUUUGCAAGUCCCCACUAGAUUAGCUAGACACAGAGCACUGCCCCCCGGAAGGCAGGUGAGGCCCUUGGAGAAUUCCAGCGCGGUGUGGUAGGGCCGGCAGUGCUGAGGGACCCGGCGCACCCUCUGCAGCUGCUGGCCCUGGUGCUAAGCCCCUCACUGCCUGAGGCCGGCAGGGCCGGCUUGCAGGGCCCGCGGAACCCACGCCCACCCGGAACUCAUGCUGGCCCGCGAGCGCCACGCGCAGGCCCGGUUCCCGCCUGUGCUUCUACUUCCCACACCUCCCCUCAAGCAGAGGGAGCCGGCUCCGGCCUCAGCCAGGCCAGAGAGGGGUUCCCACAGUGCAGUGUCGGGCUGAAGGGCUCCUAGAGCAUGGCCAGAGCGGAUGCUGAGGCCGAGGAGGCGCCGAGAACAAGCAAGGCUGCUGGCACGUUGUCACCUUUCACAAGGAACCAAUGGGAAACCUUUAGAGGGUAUUUAAACCCCAGAAAAUUCUGUAAAGGGGCUCCUGAGCCCCUAUGCUGAGCCGGUUCCCACCUUGUGGAGUGUACUUUUGUUUUCAGUUCCUUUUGUUGCUUCAUUCUCUCCUUGCUUUGUUUUUGCGUUUUGUCCAAUUCUCUGUUCAAAACGCCAAGAACCUGGACAUCCUCCACCAGUAACCAAACGGUUAUAGUAUCACCUGGUUCUCUAUCUUUUCCUCUGUCCGGAUGCUUGCCCUUUGAACCUAACCACCACAUUGUGAGAAAGCCCACUUGGAGAGACUCUGUGUGGAUGUUCUGACCAACGUCCUUGGGCCACCAGCCAGCAGCUCCAUGUGAUGAACCCCAGACAUGGGAGUGAACAGGGCUUCAGAUGAUUUCAGCCCACACUCUUCAAGUCUUCCCACGGAGGCCCAGACAUCGUGGAGCAGAGAUGGAAUCUCCCUGUGUUGCUCAGGCUGAUCUCGAACUCCUGAGCCCAAGCAUGCAUCAGCCUCUCAGUAGCUGUGAUUACAGGCAUUGAGUCACCACUCCUGAGAAAUAACAGGACUUUGGUGCUAUUCUCCAAGCUGAAAGCCAUCCUCUUCGGCCCUGAGGACACAGCUUUUUCUGCCAUAACUCACUGUCUCCACUGGCUCAAUUAGCCAAUUAGUGGCAUUGUAGAGGGCUGAGAUGUUACUUUUUAGUUUCCAAUAAAAUUCUCAAGUUGGUUUCAAUUCUCCUUAUAAUGAUGAUAAAGUCAAAGCUCAGAGGAACUGAACGAUGGCCCCUUAAAAUUUAUAUUUUGAAGCCCUAACUCCCAAUGUGAAUGUAUUUGGAGAUUGGCCCUCUUUAAAGAGGUAAUUAUGGUUAAAUCAGGUUACAAGGGUGGGGCUUAAGGCAAUAAGACUGGUGUGCUGAAAAAACGGGGAAGAGGCUGGCCGCAGUGCCUCAUGGCUGUAAUCUCAGCACUUUGGGAAUCUAAGGCAGGGGUUUGAGACCAGACUGGGCAACAUGGUGAAACCCUGUCUCUACAAAAAAUUUAAAAAUUAGUGUAGGGGGGUGCCAGGCGUGGUGGCUCAUGCCUGUAAUCCCAGCACUUUGGGAAUCCAAGGCGGGUGGAUCACCUGAGGUCAGGAGUUCGAGACCGACAUGGCAAAACCCCGUCUCCACUAAAAAUACAAAAAUAAGCAGGGCACAGUGGCACACGCUUGUAAUCCCAGCUACUUGGGAGGCUGAGGUGGGAAGAUUGCUUGAGUCCAGGAGUUUGAGGUUACAGUGAGCCAUGAUUGGGCCACAACAGUCUAGUCUGGCAACAGAGUGAGACACCAUUUAUAAAAAAGAAUAAUAAAAUUUUGAAAAUAAUAUAAGAACAAAAUAUUAAUAAUUCCACCAGUGUCAGAAGAUAGAGGCCUAGGCCUCUCAACUUCCAACCCAAGAUCUUUCCAGCAGCCCAAUCUGCUUCCUUGAAGGUGUAAAGAUAGGCCUCCCACCGUCCCAAAUCCGUAUCCUGUCAUUUAGAUGUUUAGGGGCUUAUGAUAGCACUCCUAUGUGUAGGCAUGAACACAAACACAUGCUUAAUUUUGGACUAUUAUUCAUCAGAAAAAUAGUUUUUUCACAUAAAUAAUUGUAAUCAAGGUGUGUUUGAAAGUCAAAAAAAUUUGUCAAAAUAAAUGGAAAAGAAACCAUGGGGGAAAUCACAAGAAGAUACCACUUCAUACCCACUAGGGUGACUAUAAUUUUUUAAAAUGGGAAAUAAGUGUUAUUGAGCAUGUGGAAAAAUCAGAGCCCUCAGACAUUGCUGGUAGGAAUGAAAAAUGCUGCAGCCACUGUGGAAAACAGUAUGGCAGUUCCUCAAAAAGUUAAACAUAGAGUUGCCAUGAACCAGUGGUUCCACUCCCAGGUAUAUACCCCAAAGAACUGAUAACAGAAACUCAAACAAUUAUUUUACAUGAAUGUUCACAGCGUUAUUUACAGUGGCCAAAAGGCAAAAACAACCCAAAUAUCCAUCAACUGUUGACUUACUGGAUAAUCACAAUGUGAUAUAUCCAUACAAUGGAAUAUUACUUACCUACAAAAAGCUACAAAGCGCCGGGCGCAGUGGCUCACACCUGUAAUCCUAGCAUUUUGGGAGGCUGAAGCGAGCAGAUCACAAGGUCAGGAGUUCGAGACCAGCCUGACCAACAUAGUGAAACCCUGUCUCUACUAAAAAUAAAAAAAUUAGUUGGGCAUGGUAGCGCGCCUGUAGUCCCAGCUACUCGGGAGGCUGAGGCAGGAGAUUUGCUUGAACCCGGGAGGUGGAGGUUGUGGUAAGCCAAGAUCGUACCACUGCACUCCAGCCUGGGCAAAAGAGUGAGACUCCAUCUCAAAAAAAAAAAAAAAAAAGAUACAAAGAGGCCAGCAUGUUGGCUUACGCCUGUAAUCCCAGCACUUUGGUAGGCCAAGGUGGGUGGAUAACUUGAGGUCAGGAGUUCGAGACCAGCCUGGCCAAUGUGGUAAAACCCCGUCUCCACUAAAAAUAUAAAAAUUAGCCGGGCGUGGUGGCACAUGCCUGUAAUCCCAGCUACUCCGGUGGCUGAGGCAGGAGAAUUGCUUGAGCCAGGGAGGUGGUGGUUGCAGUGAGCCAAGAGCGUGCCACUGCACUCCAGUCUGGGCGACAGAGUGAGACUUCAUCUAAAAACAAACAAACAAACAAAAAAAAAAAAACAAGUAAAAAAAAAACCUACAAACUGAUUCAUGUUACAAUGUGGAUCAACCUUGAAAAUAUACUAAAUGAAAGAAUACAGGUACAAAGGUCACAUGUCAUAUGAUUCCAUUUAUAUGAAAUGUCUAGAAUAGGCAAAUCCCUAGAGAUAAAAAGAAGAUUGAUGAUACAGAGUUUCAGUUUUGCAAGAUGAAAAAGUUCUGGAGAUUUUGGGCCAAGUGAGGUGGCUCCUGCCUGUAAUUCCAGCACUUUGGGAGGCCAAGGAGAGCAGAUUGCUUGAGCUCAGGCAUUCAAGACCAGCCUGGGCAUCAUAGCAAGACCCCAUUUCUAUUAAAAAUAAUAAUUUUAAACAAGUCCUGGAGAUCUGUUUGACAACAAUAUGAACAUACUUAAUAUAUUUAACACUUGGUUAAGAUGGUAAAUUUUGUUGUGUUUUUUCAUCACAAUGUUUUUAAAAGGUAUGAGACCUAGACUUUGCCCUCUGUGUGGCCCUAAUUUCUUGGGGGUAAAUGGCAAGUAAUUUAGUACUAUUUACAAACUAUUUUCAUAUACAUGAUAUAUCAGGUGCUCCAGGCAGUCCAUGAGAUAGAUAGAAUAAUCCCUCUAUAUCCAUGGGGGUUGGUUCCAGGACCCCCUGAGGAUACCAAAAUUCACAGAGGCUCAAGUCCUUUAAAUAAAAU
rnacentral:lncRNA from 10 species